rnacentral:rRNA from 1 species
UACGAAGGGGGCUAGCGUUGCUCGGAAUCACUGGGCGUAAAGGGUGCGUAGGCGGGUCUUUAAGUCAGGGGUGAAAUCCUGGAGCUCAACUCCAGAACUGCCUUUGAUACUGAAGAUCUUGAGUUCGGGAGAGGUGAGUGGAACUGCGAGUGUAGAGGUGAAAUUCGUAGAUAUUCGCAAGAACACCAGUGGCGAAGGCGGCUCACUGGCCCGGAUACUGACGCUGAGGAGCGAAAGCGUGGGAGCAAACG